AAUUGGCUUGUGACAGUCAAGCGCUCAUAGCGACGUUGCUUUUUGACCCUUCGAUAUUGACUGUUCCUAUCAUAUUGUAGCGGAAGUCAGUAAGUGUUUGAUUGUUUACCCGCCAAUAAGGAACAAGGUCUGGAGUUUAGACUGUCGUGAGGUAGGUU
rnacentral:ncRNA from 1 species